rnacentral:lncRNA from 1 species
CUUGUUUAAAACUAUACUGUGUAGUGUAGCAUGUAUAGGUACUCUGGUUUGCACCCACUAAAUAUCAGUAAAUGCCCUUUGUCAUUGUAACAAUCAUAAAUGCCAUCACAGAUUUUCAUGACUCUCCUUCCUGCCCCAUUUAUUGUCAGAUUCCUCACUUACCGAUUCCAGAAGCCAUGCUAGGUGGUCAACAGCAGACGCAGGACAACUUGGAAAGCUGGUUUUUCACGUACUGCACAUCCAAGCUAGGUAAUGUCUCUGCAACUGCUGCUUCCUGAUGAUUAUAUUCAUCUGAAAUGACUAAGCUUGGUAAAUUAGGCUAAGUCAAGUCUGUGGAGCAGUCAAGGGACGAAUGAAGAAAAGAAUAAUGUAAUGGAGGCUACACCAGAGACAUGGGAAUCUAUCAGCAUGUGGCAAGGAAGGAAGAACAUAGCUAUGUCUUCUAUAUAAAGAGUUGCCUGCAUUCUUCUCAGAAAAAAAAAGACAAUGGAAAGGCAAUGAGUCAUGAGUCUUGGGUUCUAAGCCUGGUUCUACCAUUUGCUAGCUGUAUGAUAAGAAGCAUGUUUGUUAAACCUCUGAGCCUCAGCUUAUAUAUAUACGAAACAGGAAAAAUAGUAACAUAGCCUGCCAUCUUCACAGAUUUGUGAAAAGGUCUUUUAAAUAUCCAAAAAGCUUAGUAUGUAUAAGAAAGAUUAAAUUGGCUGGGCGCGGUGGCUCACGCCUGUAAUCCCAGCACUUUGGGAGGCCGAGGCGGGCGGAUCACA